CAGAGAGAGCUCAAAGCAAGAAUAGCAAGUUUGAAAAUCUCCAUACAUGGAUGGUAUUCAAACCAGGAGAUUGGUGGGCUCACCCAGGUGGAUUGUAGAUGCAGAAGAGAAGAGCUCAGGAUUGCAUCCUAGGUCUUCUAAAGUUGAGAGGUUAAGUAGAAAAUAAAGAAUAACAAAAAAGAGACUGAGAAGGAACAGCCAGUGAAGCAGGAGGAACAUCAACAAGUGAGAUUUCAUAAAAGCCAGGAGAAGAAAAUGUUUCGAGAAGAGGGGCACACAGAGCCCGUCACAAGAUUGACCUUGUGUGAAGUGCUUAGUAAAUGCAUGUCAAGUCGAUGAAUGAAAGAAUGAGUAAUGGAAACAGGGUUGGCUGUUGGAUCCAGAUACCUUGAUUUGUGCCCCAGGUCUACCAGUGACCACUGUGUGAUCUCGGCCAAGCCACGUAACCUCUCCUGACCUCAGACACCUCACCGGUAGAGUGGUAAUGACAACACCUAUGCUACCGGCCUCGUAUGGCUGCAGUGAGGACCCAAUGACAUCAUUUAUGGAAAAGCACCUUAUAAGCUGAAAAGGGGGAAGCACACAUCCUAACACCGUGAAGUUUACUGGACUGAUUGGACCUCAAAGCUCACACUGCUGAGCAAGGUGAGUGUUGGAAAAAGAGGCCUCCUGCUCUAGGAACUCGCCAAAAACCUGUCAGCAGGAGAAUCUUUCAGAGCAAGCACAAAGACAGAUGCAUGUGCUUACACGGAAAUGUGUUUUUAACAAAUAUAACAUGAGAAUGGAAUUCUUUUCUCCCUACAUCCAGCCUUGAUAGCUAAUUAAUUCCACCUGGAGGAGGGAGCCAGGCAUUGGGUAAGGAACAGUCCUUAUUCCAUGUUUGGGAAAGAAUUUACGGUAGCUCUCUCAUGAGGAUCUGGGGAAAGGCAAAGCAUAAACCAAGUCACUGGGAUUUUUUAAUUGUAGUUGUUGUUUUUGAGAUGGAGUUUUGCUCUGUGGCCCAGGCUAGAGUGCCCAGGCUGGUGUGACCUUGGCUCACUGCAACAUCCACCUUCCGGGUUCAAGCGAUUCUUCUGCCUCAAC
rnacentral:lncRNA from 1 species